AGGCGACGACGGGUAGCCGGCCUGAGAGGGCGACCGGCCACACUGGGACUGAGACACGGCCCAGACUCCUACGGGAGGCAGCAGUGGGGAAUAUUGCACAAUGGGCGGAAGCCUGAUGCAGCGACGCCGCGUGGGGGAUGACGGCCUUCGGGUUGUAAACCCCUUUCGACCUUGACGAAGCGAAAGUGACGGUAGGGGGAGAAGAAGCGCCGGCCAACUACGUGCCAGCAGCCGCGGUAAGACGUAGGGCGCGAGCGUUGUCCGGAUUUAUUGGGCGUAAAGAGCUCGUAGGCGGCUCGUUGCGUCGGCUGUGAAAACCCGCGGCUUAACCGUGGGCUUGCAGCCGAUACGGGCGGGCUAGAAUUCGGUAGGGGAGACUGGAAUUCCUGGUGUAGCGGUGAAAUGCGCAGAUAUCAGGAGGAACACCGGUGGCGAAGGCGGGUCUCUGGGCCGAUAUUGACGCUGAGGAGCGAAAGCGUGGGGAGCGAACAGGAUUAGAUACCCUGGUAGUCCACGCUGUAAACGUUGGGCGCUAGGUGUGGGGGGCCUCUCCGGUUCUCUGUGCCGC
rnacentral:rRNA from 1 species